GAGUUUGAUCUUGGCUCAGAUUGAACGCUGGCGGCAUGCUUUACACAUGCAAGUCGAACGGCAGCGCGGGGCAACCUGGCGGCGAGUGGCGAACGGGUGAGUAAUAUAUCGGAACGUACCCAAGAGUGGGGGAUAACGUAGCGAAAGUUACGCUAAUACCGCAUACGAUCUAAGGAUGAAAGUGGGGGAUCGCAAGACCUCAUGCUCCUGGAGCGGCCGAUAUCUGAUUAGCUAGUUGGUGAGGUAAAGGCUCACCAAGGCGACGAUCAGUAGCUGGUCUGAGAGGACGACCAGCCACACUGGAACUGAGACACGGUCCAGACUCCUACGGGAGGCAGCAGUGGGGAAUUUUGGACAAUGGGCGCAAGCCUGAUCCAGCAAUGCCGCGUGAGUGAAGAAGGCCUCGGUUGUAAG
rnacentral:rRNA from 1 species